CCCUGGCUCAGAUUGAACGCUGGCGGCAUGCCUUACACAUGCAAGUCGAACGGCAGCACGGGAGCAAUCCUGGUGGCGAGUGGCGAACGGGUGAGUAAUACAUCGGAACGUGCCCAAUCGUGGGGGAUAACGCAGCGAAAGCUGUGCUAAUACCGCAUAAGAUCUACGGAUGAAAGCAGGGGAUCGCAAGACCUUGCGCGAAUGGAGCGGCCGAUGGCAGAUUAGGUAGUUGGUGAGGUAAAGGCUCACCAAGCCUUCGAUCUGUAAGCUGGUCUGAGAGGACGACCAGCCACACUGGGACUGAGACACGGCCCAGACUCCUACGGGAGGCAGCAGUGGGGAUAUUUUGGACAAUGGGCGCAAGCCUGAUCCAGCCAUGCCGCGUGCAGGAUGAAGGCCUUCGGGUUGUAAACUGCUUUUGUACGGAACGAAACGGUCCCUUCUAAUACAGGGGGCUAAUGACGGUACCGUAAGAAUAAGCACCGGCU
rnacentral:rRNA from 1 species